ensembl:lncRNA novel transcript
CUGGUUGUCUGCACUAGGUGCUCUGCUUAAUUUGGACUCCUCUUAUUUUACAGGGUAACCCUAAAUGUCCCAUGCUGUUCUGGAUACUGGAUCAUGAAGGAAUCAUUCCUUUUCCAUCAGAGUAAUAUCUUGUUCUGCAACUAAGGAAUUAUAUAUACCUGAGUAAAAACGAGAGGCUGGAAUCAUACAGGUGCAAAGGAAUUCCUCCUGGUAGGGUUAACUGAAAAUCCUAAUUUGCAGAUCCCACUCUUUUUGCUUGUCACUCUGAUUUAUUUCAUCACUUUGUUGGAUAAUUUGGGUAUAAUUAUUUUAAUCUGGUUAAAUGCCCAACUUCAUACUCCAAUGUACUUCUUCCUUGGCAACCUCUCCUUUUGUGAUAUCUGCUACUCUACUGUCUUUGCUCCUAAGAUGCUAGUCAAUUUCCUAUCAAAACAUAAGUCCAGUACAUUUUCUGGCUGUGUUCUACAGAGUUUCCCUUUUGCAGUAUAUGUAACCACAAAGGACAUUCUCCUGUCCAUGAUGGCUUAUGACCAUUACGUGGCCAUAGCUAAUCCCUUGUUGUAUACAGUCAUUAUGGCCCAAAAAGUUUGUAUUCAGAUGGUCCUUGCUUCUUACUUAGGUGGGCUCAUUAAUUCCCUGACACACACAAUAGGUUUGCUCAAAUUAGACUUCUGUGGUCCUAAUAUUGUGAAUCAUUAUUUCUGUGAUGUUCCUCCUCUUCUGAGGCUUUCUUGCUCUGAUGCUCAUAUCAAUGAAAUGCUGCCCUUGGUCUUCUCUGGGCUCAUUGCAAUGUUCACUUUCAUUGUCAUUAUGGUGUCUUAUAUCUGCAUCAUCAUUGCCAUCCAGAGAAUCCAUGCAGCUGAGGGAAGGUACAAAGCCUUCUCCACUUGUGUCUCCCACCUAACCACGGUGACCUUAUUCUAUGGGUCUGUUUCUUUUAGUUAUAUCCAGCCAAGUUCUCAGUAUUCCUUGGAACAGGAGAAGGUCUUGGCUGUGUUUUAUACACUGGUGAUCCCCAUGCUAAACCCACUUAUUUAUAGCCUGAGAAAUAAGGAUGUAAAAGAUGCAGCCAAAAGGUUGAUAUGGUGGGGGAAAAACCCCACUUGACUCAGUCCUGCAUAUAGCUUUGCUAACCUAACAUUUACCUGCAAAUAUAUGGCCUAUCUUUAAAAUGAUAUCAAACAAUUAUAAAUAAAACUAUACUCCAGAUGCUCUUGUACAGUUUGGAUCAGGAAUGAUGAGUUUGACUUGAAGACUGAAAAUCACUUUAUUUCACAAUUUAUUGUGUUGAUGACUUAAUAAAAUCAUUAUUUCAAAAGAUGAGACUUUUUUUUUCUAACAGAUUUUCAUGCUGAACUCUGAAAAAGCUCACCAUGGAUUUAAAGAAGGUGUCACUGAUUCAAAUCAAAGUAAUACUCUAACAAUAGGUGUUUAUUAAUUCAUCUCAGAGGAAAUUUUCAGAUAAAAAUUCACAUGUUCCCAUGGUAUGACUUUCUUAGAUUAUACUAUUAUGUCUUAUUCUAAAAGGGCUGUC